GAAACUCAAAGGAAUUGACGGGGACCCGCACAAGCAGCGGAGCGUGUGGUUUAAUUCGUUGCUACACGAAGAACCUUACCUGGGUUUGACAUAUAGGUUGUAGGGAACUGAAAAGGGACCGACCCUUCGGGGAGCCUAUACAGGUGUUGCAUGGCUGUCGUCAGCUCGUGUCGUGAGAUGUUCGGUUAAGUCCGCUAACGAGCGCAACCCUCGUCGUAUGUUAUAUGUGUCAUACGAGACUGCCGGUAAAAGCCGGAGGAAGGUGAGGAUGAUGUCAAGUCAGCAUGACCUUUAUAUCCAGGGCUACACACACGCUACAAUGGUCUGUACAAUGGGUAGCCAAGCCGCGAGGCGGAGCCAAUCCUGAAAGCAGGCCUCAGUUCAGAUUGCAGGCUGCAACUCGCCUGCAUGAAGUUGGAGUUGCUAGUAAACGCAGGUCAGCUAUACUGCGGUGAAUACGUUCCCGGGGCUU
rnacentral:rRNA from 1 species